rnacentral:rRNA from 1 species
AUUGAACGCUGGCGGCAGGCUUAACACAUGCAAGUCGAACGAUGAAGAUAUAGCUUGCUAUAUCGGAUUAGUGGCGGACGGGUGAGUAACACUUAGGAAUCUACCUUUUAGCGGGGGAUAGCUCGGGGAAACUCGAAUUAAUACCGCAUAGUUUCUACGGAAUAAAGAGGGCUUUUAGCUCUCACUAGAAGAUGAGCCUAAGUAAGAUUAGCUAGUUGGUGGGGUAAAAGCCUACCAAGGCGACGAUCUUUAGCUGGUCUGAGAGGAUGAUCAGCCACACUGGGACUGAGACACGGCCCAGACUCCUACGGGAGGCAGCAGUGGGGAAUAUUGGACAAUGGGGGCAACCCUGAUCCAGCCAUGCCGCGUGUGUGAAGAAGGCCUUUUGGUUGUAAAGCACUUUAAGCAGUGAAGAAGACCUAUUGGUUAAUACCCAAUAGCGAUGACAUUAACUGCAGAAUAAGCACCGGCUAACUCUGUGCCAGCAGCCGCGGUAAUACAGAGGGUGCAAGCGUUAAUCGGAAUUACUGGGCGUAAAGCGAGCGUAGGUGGUUAAAUAAGUCAGAUGUGAAAGCCCUGGGCUCAACCUAGGAACGGCAUCUGAAACUAUUUAACUAGAGUAGGUGAGAGGGAAGUAGAAUUUCAGGUGUAGCGGUGAAAUGCGUAGAGAUCUGAAGGAAUACCGAUGGCGAAGGCAGCUUCCUGGCAUCAUACUGACACUGAGGCUCGAAAGCGUGGGUAGCAAACAGGAUUAGAUACCCUGGUAGUCCACGCCGUAAACGAUGUCUACUAGCCGUUGGGGAACUUGAUUCCUUAGUGGCGCAGCUAACGCAAUAAGUAGACCGCCUGGGGAGUACGGCCGCAAGGUUAAAACUCAAAUGAAUUGACGGGGGCCCGCACAAGCGGUGGAGCAUGUGGUUUAAUUCGAUGCAACGCGAAGAACCUUACCUGGUCUUGACAUACACAGAAUCUAGCAGAGAUGCAAGAGUGCCUUCGGGAAAUUGUGAUACAGGUGCUGCAUGGCUGUCGUCAGCUCGUGUCGUGAGAUGUUGGGUUAAGUCCCGCAACGAGCGCAACCCUUAUCCUUAGUUGCCAGCACGUAAUGGUGGGGACUCUAAGGAGACUGCCAGUACAAACUGGAGGAGGGCGGGGACGACGUCAAGUCAUC